GAUGAACGCUGGCGGCGUGCCUAAUACAUGCAAGUCGAGCGAACGGACGAGAAGCUUGCUUCUCUGAUGUUAGCGGCGGCCGGGUGAGUAACACGUGAAUAACCUACCUAUACAACUGGGAUAACUUCGAGAGACCGACGCUAAUACCUGAUAAUAUUUUGAACCGCAUGGUUCAAAAAUGAAAGACGGUCUUGCUGUCCCUUAUCGAUGGAUCCGCGCUGCAUUAGCUAGUUAGUAAGGUAACGGCUUACCAAGGCAACGAUGCAUAGCCGACCGGAGAGGGUGAUAGGCCACCUUGGAACUGAGACACGGUCCAGACUCCUACGGGAGGCAGCAGUAGGGAAUCUUCCGCAAUGGGCGAAAGCCUGACGGAGCAACGCCGCGUGAGUGAUGAAGGUCUUCGGAUCGUAAAACUCUGUUAUUAGGGAAGAACAUAUGUGUAAGUAACUGUGCACAUCUUGACGGUACCUAAUCAGAAAGCCACGGCUAACUACGUG
rnacentral:rRNA from 1 species